rnacentral:lncRNA from 1 species
UAAUAUACCACAUUCUUAAACCGACUACUAAGAGUGAUAUUCCCUGCAUCGCGCGGAUUUGCUAGAAAAACCCACCCAAUUAGAGGGAAUUCAGAAAUUAAUUAGGUACAACUUCCGUAUUUUAUUGGAUUCUCGAACAUGGUUACAAAGGUCGCGAAGUAACCUCAGCAAUGGCGAAAAGUGCUUCUGUGCUUGGUAAUCUUCCUCACUUAUUUAUCGACUUGCAGUUGGUUAUUUCAAACAUAUUAAUUUUGCAAAAUAUAGGAUAUUGGAAUAAGUUAUUGAUCAUCAAGUUGUGAUUUUUCCUUUGUUUCUUGCUCAACCAGUUGUUGUUCAAUUUGUUCAUUGUACCUCUUUGGGGAUAAAUGAUCUGCUACAGAAUAACGGUUAAGAUUUUCUCUGACCUCUUGAGAUUCUACUAAUUAUUUCAUCAGUUGGCCAUGAGGAAAUAUUAGCGGUUGUUCAUCACAAGUUUAACUCUGGUCUCUGCUAGUUUGCUGGGGACUUCUUUUCCUGUUUUCUUUUAGUUAUUUUUCUUUCUUUUUGGUGUAUAUCAAGAUGUGCAUUCUUGCGUCUUAACGUUUAUGCGGGUCAUUGCUUUUUCAUUUUUGCGCUUUUAAGUGAUGACCAGUCGAAAAGGAAGCAUAAAAAGCUUGAAAAUUAAAUUGCUCUUACUAUGCUCAGUUUUGGCAUCAGAAUGCUUGAACAACUUGAUAAAGCUUGGAAUACUGAAAAAUGGUUCUCCAAUGUCACGGAGUCCAGAACCAUAUUUUACGCUACAAGAGAAGAAGUACAAUAUAGGCAAAAGAAAUAUAAGGAUUCACUGAGAAGUCAUCCUUCUUUAUUUUCUUGCAGAUGCUCUUUGUUUUCCUCCUGUCUUUUAAUUGAUGCUGUCCACAGAAAGGAAAAGAAAAAGCAGAAAAAGAUUUUAAGUCAGAGUAGAAAGUUUUUAAUAGUGAAUUAAACUUUGAUCUAAAAUCUAAAUGCCCCACAGAAAGGAAACGAAAAAGCAGAAAAAGAUUUUAAGUCAGAGUAGAAAGUUUUUAAUAGUGAAUUAAACUUUGAUCUAAAAUCUAAAUGCAUAAAAAGAGUAGCUUACAUAUCGCAGUUAACAGUUCUGGAGACAGGGGUAUCCAUAGUGACACCACACUUGGUGGGAAGAGCUUGAGCUGCAUCGUCUUUAAGGUUCGCGUACCUAUUAGCAGCAGCCUUGACACAAUUGCAAGCUGCCCUUUUGUCGGCUGUGGUUUGAGCCAAUUCUUUUAGGCUUUUCACCCCACUGCAGCAAGCUGCACUUGGAUCACCACCCUGAGUAAGGUAAGGGAUACAUGGUGCUAAAGAAGCGUCCACUUGACCACAGGUAAGAGCUUGUCCUGGCUCAAACAUGAGCUAAAUCAUGGCCAGCACCACAAUGGCAAUGAUGAUUCCCUUCAUCUUUUCAGUUUUGUGUAAGAAAAAGGAUAGUUUUAAGGCAGGUGUUUUUUUUUCUGGAUUCUUGAUUGGCCUUGUUGAUGACUAGCCAGUGUCUUAGGAGGGUUUAUAUAGGAAUAUGAUAAGUGCUAAGAAAAGUAAAUUUGUUCUUUGCUGUGGUAAUAUCAGUUAUCUCUUUUAGGAUUUUUGUUUCCUUGUUAUGUCAUUUCCUGGUCGAUUGGAAACAGCCUCUCUGCCCUUUCGGGUAGGGGUAAGGCCCGUCUACAUAUUACCNNNNNNNNNNNNNNNNNNNNNNNNNNNNNNNNNNNNNNNNNNNNNNNNNNNNNNNNNNNNNNNNNNNNNNNNNNNNNNNNNNNNNNNNNNNCCCCAGGGUAGGGGUAAGGUCUGCGUACACACUACCCUCCCCAAACCCCACUCUGUUGUUGUUGUUGUUGUUGUUGUUGUUGUUGUUGUUGUUGUUGUUAACACUAGAAAACAAAAUAGGUCCUGGAAUGGUGAUUCAAUUACAUUCAAUACAUUUCCUGAUUUGUUGCAGAAGAAAGGAACAAAUAGUCUUACAUGUUAUGUUAUGACGUACGGUUAUUUGCAGGUAUUGAUGAUGCUUCAUCUUUCUCUACUAGUGGUGCUUAGAGAUAAAUGAAUUCAACAAACCUUAUCUCUUUUGCAUCUGAAACCACUUUCUUUCUUUCCAGCCUUAAUGGUCAGCAGCGAAAUACACAUCUCUGUUUUGUGUGCCAGUAUGAAAGAAAAGGCAAACCAUGCAUGUUGUUUAAUAUAACUUACAAAUUGAUGUAUCAAUUUAUUCCUUAUAUUUUUUACUGACUGCAUCAGGUAGCUAUUUUGAUCAUCAUUUCCUUGUGAACUUUUGUAUACAAACUGUCUUUGAAUUGGAUUAGAUGAACUCAAAUUCAUUUAAUUUGAGCCUUAAAUUAGUUAGCUUGGAUCAGAAUUUAAAGCAAACCAACAUAUUCGGUGGAAUAUGUCCUCGAGCUUCAAUAAUUCGUGCAUCACUUGGCUGGUUUUCUUAGCAUAUGAUUUGUAAAGAAACAAGAAAGCUCCCCAAAUCAUUUGUAAAAGAAUAUAAAUGUUGUUCCCAAGCAGAUGAUCACACUUUGAUGCAUGAGUAGAACAUACAGCAGUGACACAUUGGAGCAGAAUUUUUGAUAACGUAGGAGCAGAAUUAAGACAUCUAAUGAUAAAAACGACUUAGUUGAUCAGCGAUUGUUCUGAUUCAAGGGGUCGCCAUGGGAACUAUUACCCCCUCCCCACACCCUGGGUGAAUCAAAAGACUAUUAUUCCUCUUUAAACAGAAGGAAAAAGAACUAGAAAAAUUAGUC